UCUACAGCAGAUGCAAAGAUCGACACCAAAAUAAUAAAAAUUUUCAUAAUCUGCAAAUAAACUUUUCAUUGAAACAAGUGAAAAACAAAAGCCUCACCUGAUGAAAGAAGUUUGGGUUUAAAGCCCCACUGCGGGACAUUUAUGGCAGUGGACAAAGAGACAGAAAUCUGUUGGAAUAUUCUGGAACCAUGGCGACAAUUUAACCUUUUGUUGGACUGUGUUUAUUGCCAUAAUGUGGAACAUUCCAGGCAAAAUGGUGAUUUCCACAGUGGGGCUUUAAAUCAAUGCUGGUAGAUGUAUAGACAUUUCUUCUGGUACAUUUGUCAUGGGAAGUGGUUAAAAUGUUUCAGAAAACCAUGGCAACGGUUGAGAUGUCGACUGGGGCACAUAAUCUGACAGUGUACAACCAAAUUCACAGAUGACACUGAAGAAGACGAGGCGCUGCCAGGACCAAGGGCGUGUUUCUGUUCAUAGAUACCGUCUUGCUCAAAGACGCCACAACAGCCUUAUGCAACAGAGGCAGUGGGAAUAGAACCACCAACCACUGAGUUCUCAUAAUAGAAAUGCUUCUUAACCAUCAGAGUCCACUGAGUUCUGUUCAUUUUUCACAGGUGAUGUGGGGCAAUCAUCAUGGCAGCCCAGUCCUUAAGUCAAGACUUCCCCCUCCCCAGAUGCUUCCUUCAGCUUCUCAUCGGCCAUCUCCAGAUAAAACACAUUUGAAGACAUUUUGAACAUGUUUACAUCGUGUCUAAAGACACAAAACACAUAAUUCCUCUUGUUCUCUCGGUGUUGACUCUGUUCUUGUCCCUGUAGCGUCUCGUCUUCUUCCAAAACACAAUAAUCAUCCAAAUAAACUUACUAAAUCUUCUGGCUCUUUCCCACAGAGCCUAUGGUUAGCUUAUUAGCAUGUUAGCUGUAAACACGUGACGUCACGCUGGAUCCGUGUCGUGUGCGCAUGUCGGCAGCCAUUUUGUUUUUGUCCUCUCCAGACCAGCUGUGCAUCUACAAGCUUGACUUUAACCGUCCAAUCACAGUUCUACUUUAGAGUCAAGCGAAAACAUCACAAGAAACAUCGUCCAGACUUAGUCCAGUUCAAAAAAAGAAAGGAGGAAAAAUGUCCAAUUUGGGAAAAUCUGGAAAAAUCUGGAAAAAGGAAAUAAUAAAAACAGUUAAAAUGACAUGAAUAAACAGGAAAAAAACAAACCUCUUUGAAGCCGCAGACACAGCUCCCGUUUAUAUAUCCUCAGACCUGAAUCUAAACCAGGAAAAUAACAGGGCUAGCUAGCGUGCUAAUAGCCAGCAUGCUAAUAGCUAGGAUGUUAAUAGGUGUGAGGGUACCCAUUAGGGGCCUAAAUGAUUAUCCUAACUAUGACUCAGGUACAGCUGACGCUUAAAGGAGCUCAUUAGACCAACAAAGAGAAACUGUAAACAAAAAGAAACUGUAAACAUUAGCUGUGUUAGCUUCAGUGUCAUUAGCUCCUCCCUUCAAACAGAUAUAAGGCAGUGUCCAGCAGUAAUUUGACCAGAACUGAAGAAGCGUCUUGACUCCUACAACGUUUUGUCCAGUGACAAAUUUGAAUUUUUCUUUUACUAAGAAUAAAUAAUUUUUACUAAACUGAUUUAGUCUUGGUGUAGUCCUGGUGUAGUCCUGGUUUAGUCCUGGUUUAGUCCUGGUUUAGUCCUGGUUUAGUCCUGGUUUAGUCCUGGUUUAGUCCUGUUUUGGCCCUAGUUUAGUCCUGGUUUAGACCUGGUUCAGUCCUGGCUCUGCCCUGGUUCAAUCCUGGUUUAGACCUGGAUCAGUCCUGGUUUAGUUCUGGUUUAUUCUGACUCUUUCGGAUCUGUUUUAGUUUGGCUCAUUUUUGUGGCUUUUGUUUUGUCACAUUUGUUUAAGUUUUAAAUCAGAUGUUACAUGUGGACAGUUACAGUUUAAGUUACUUUUUAAGUUACUCUUUGAGUUACUCUUUAAGUUAUUCUUUAAGUUACUUUUUGAGUUACUCUUUAAGUUACUCGUUGAGUUACUCUUACUCAAGUAUUAUUUUUCACAAAUACUUUUUUACUUGAGUAAUUUCUUGGAGCACUACUUCAAAAUAAGAUUACUGAAGUACAAGUACAAAGACUUGUACUUCAGUAAUCUUAUUUUGAAGUACCGGUAUUAAGUAUUUGUAUAAAUACUUGAAAACGUCAGCUCUUAAAUCCGUCUCUUGCAUCUGGUCUUGGUUUUGUUGUGUGUGAAGCUGAAGUUUCUCACAUCUCCACCUCCUGCUGAGGCUAGAUCUGGACUCAAACUAUAACCAGACCACAGGAGAGUCGAUGUGAUGGACCCGGACUAUAACCAGACCACAGGAGGGUCUAUGUGAUGGACCCGGACUAUAACCAGACCACAGGAGGGUCUAUGUGAUGGACCCGGACUAUAACCAGACCACAGGAGGGUCUAUGUGGGGUGACAGUGGCUCAGUGGUUAGAGUGUUGGUCCCCCAAGCCGUCGAUCAGAGGAUCGAGUCCCGCUCGGACCAAGUUCUGUCGUGUCCUUAGGCAAGACACUUCACCCACAUUGCCUAGUAUGAAAGUGGUGUGUGCGUGAAUGACAGGUGGUGGUCGGAGGGGCCGAUGGCGCAGAUUGGCAGCCUUGCUUCUGUCAGUCUGCCCCAGGGCAGCUGUGGCUACAAUAGUAGCUUACCAUCACCAAGUGUGGAAAUGAAUGAAUAAUGACUAUAGUGUAGUGCUUUGACAAGCCUGUAAAGCGCAUUACAAGUGUAAGACAUUAUUAUUAUUAUUAUUAUGUGAUGGACCUGAGCUAUAACCAGACCACAGGAGGUACUUUGUGAUAGACCUCGAAUGUAACCAGGCUAGUGCUGUCAAGAUACUAAAAUUUAAAACUCUAUUUCGAUACUAAGGAACAGAUACUCGAUGCCGAUCCCCAUACCACGAUGAUUAAAAACCUCUUUCUUUAGCCUCUGUGCUGUUCCACAUUAAAUGUUGUUCUUUGUGUUCUGUUCCCAUGUGUCUUAUAUCUGUGUAAUCCCUCAGUGUCCAGUAGGUUCAUAGUGGUCCAUGGUCCUGUUAGGUCCUGGUUUAGUCCUGGUUUAGUCCUGAUUUAGUCCUGGUUUAGUCCUGGUUUAGUCCUGGUUUAGUCCUGGUUUAGUCCUGAUUUAGUCCUGGUUUAGUCCUGGUUUAGUCCAGUAGGUUCAUAGUGGUCCAUGGGUGUAUUCUAGUGACUAGAAUAUACUAGAAUCUAGUCUAUGUGUCUUAUACUUGUGAAAGAUGCCGUUCAGUAUCAUUAUAAACAGAUUCAGAAAAGAGUCAUUUCUAUCAGUGAGUCCAAACCAUGUGGGAUUCUGGGACAGACCUGGGCUGGUUUAGACCAUCUCUGGUUUCAAGGCCUUGGUGCUGUGAGGACUGGACAUCUGCAGGAGCAUGUCAUGUCUCUGUUUUGACCACAGACUAUAAAGAAGUGACUGAGUGACAUCACCACAGCUUCAGCUCCAAAUGAAGCUCAUCGAGGCUAGCAGUUAUAGGGGCCAAUGUUCUGACUAUAAGUAUCAUAGCAAACAAAGAGCCAAUGAGGAGCAAGGGUGUUGAAGGUAACGCCCCUUCUCACUUGCACCUAUGAUUUAGCAUGGUAAACCUGUUACUAACACUAGCGGGAGCAAAAGAAAGCGCCUGAUUUGUCUGUUGUUAAUGUUCAUAUCUUGAUUUACAGACACAAUAGUGAAAUAAAAACCCCAGGAUCAUGUAGAGCAGGUUAAUACAAAUAUUUAAGACCAAAAUGAUGAGUCUGACAGCAGCAGUUACAGAGACAGGGGACACAGUUUUUGCACAGAAAGUGAAUUAGAGCUAGAGUCAAUGGAGCCGGAAGUGCACACAUGAUCACUUCCUGCUUGAAACACUAGCAGGUUAGCACUGUCCAUUUAUAUAUACAGUCUAUGCUAGCAGGUUGCUAGCAGGUCUGUGGCUCUGAACCAAUGACGUCACUGAGCUGAUCUGGACAUUUAGAAAAAUUGUGUCAUCAUCAGAAAGAGAUCUGACAAACUGAGGGAGAGUUUGUGUGAUAUUCUUAAAGCUGCAGUAUGUAACCUUUAUGGGGUCGUCAUGUGGUGGACUCCAUGGAGAUGCUGUUGCUUUGCCUGCAGUGUUCCACAGUGCAGCAUUAAGCUUCUUUCUUACAGAUGUUUUAUGCUCCGAAUGAUCCAGUUUAACAGUUUAACACAGUUUAUCUUUUUGCAGUAAAAACAACUGAACAUACAUGAACAAAUGUGAUAUAGAUUAACACUGUGGAACGUUCCAGGCAAAGCAAUAACAUCUC
ensembl:lncRNA